rnacentral:rRNA from 1 species
GACGAACGCUGCCGGCGUGCUUAACACAUGCAAGUCGCACGAAGAGCCACGGAAGCUUGCUUCUCUCCAUCUUAGUGGCGCACGGGUGAGUAACGCGUAAUCAACCUGCCAUUCAGAGGGCUACCACAGUUGGAAACGACUGCUAAUCCUGCAUACGAUCUAAUCUCGGCAUCGAGGAUGGACGAAAGGUGGCCUCUACACGUAAGCCAUCACUGCAGGAGGGGAUUGCGUCUGAUUAGCUAGUUGGAGCUGUAACGGCCCACCAAGGCGAUGAUCAGUAUCCGGUCUGAGAGGAUGAACGGCCACAUUGGGACGGAGACACGGCCCAGACUCCUACGGGAGGCAGCAGUGGUGAAUCUGCCGCAAGGGACGAAAGUCUGACGGAGCAACGCCGCGUGAGUGAUGACGGCCUUCGGGUUGUAAAUCUCUGUUAAUCGGGACGAAAGGCCUUCUUGCGAAUAGUGAGAAGGAUUGACGGUACCGGAAUAGAAAGCCACGGCUAACUACGUG